AUUGAACGCUGGCGGCAGGCCUAACACAUGCAAGUCGAGCGGAUGAAGGGAGCUUGCUCCUGGAUUCAGCGGCGGACGGGUGAGUAAUGCCUAGGAAUCUGCCUGGUAGUGGGGGAUAACGUCCGGAAACGGGCGCUAAUACCGCAUACGUCCUGAGGGAGAAAGUGGGGGAUCUUCGGACCUCACGCUAUCAGAUGAGCCUAGGUCGGAUUAGGUAGUUGGUGGGGUAAAGGCCUACCAAGGCGACGAUCCGUAACUGGUCUGAGAGGAUGAUCAGUCACACUGGAACUGAGACACGGUCCAGACUCCUACGGGAGGCAGCAGUGGGGAAUAUUGGACAAAGGGCGAAAGCCUGAUCCAGCCAUGCCGCGUGUGUGAAGAAGGUCUUCGGAUUGUAAAGCACUUUAAGUUGGGAGGAAGGGCAGUAAGUUAAUACCUUGCUGUUUUGACGUUACCAACAGAAUAAGCACCGGCUAACUUCGUG
rnacentral:rRNA from 1 species